rnacentral:rRNA from 1 species
GUCGACGGGAAGACAUGAAGAGCUUGCUCUUUAUGAAAUCCAGUGGCAAACGGGUGAGUAACACGUAAACAACCUGCCUUCAGGAUGGGGACAACAGACGGAAACGACUGCUAAUACCGAAUACGAUUCUUGAGUCGCAUGACACAAGAAAGAAAGGGUGGCCUCUACUUGUAAGCUAUCGCCUGAAGAGGGGUUUGCGUCCGAUUAGGUAGUUGGUGAGGUAACGGCCCACCAAGCCGACGAUCGGUAGCCGGUCUGAGAGGAUGAACGGCCACAUUGGAACUGAGACACGGUCCAGACUCCUACGGGAGGCAGCAGUGGGGAAUCUUCCGCAAUGGGCGAAGGCCUGACGGAGCAACGCCGCGUGAGUGAAGACGGCCUUCGGGUUGUAAAACUCUGUGAUUCGGGACGAAAAAUAAGCAGACGAAUAAUCUGCAUAAGUGACGGUACCGAAAAAGCAAGCCACGGCUAACUACGUGCCAGCAGCCGCGGUAAUACGUAGGUGGCAAGCGUUGUCCGGAAUUAUUGGGCGUAAAGCGCGCGCAGGCGGCUACUUAAGUCCAUCUUAAAAGUGCGGGGCUUAACCCCGUGAUGGGAUGGAAACUGAGAAGCUGGAGUGUCGGAGAGGAAAGUGGAAUUCCUAGUGUAGCGGUGAAAUGCGUAGAGAUUAGGAAGAACACCGGUGGCGAAGGCGACUUUCUGGACGACAACUGACGCUUAGGCGCGAAAGCGUGGGGAGCAAACAGGAUUNNAUACCCUGGUAGUCCACGCCGUANACGAUGGAUACUAGGNNNA